UACGUAGGGUGCAAGCGUUGUCCGGAAUUAUUGGGCGUAAAGAGCUCGUAGGCGGUUUGUCGCGUCUGCUGUGAAAACCCGAGGCUCAACCUCGGGCCUGCAGUGGGUACGGGCAGACUAGAGUGCGGUAGGGGAGAUUGGAAUUCCUGGUGUAGCGGUGGAAUGCGCAGAUAUCAGGAGGGACACCAAUGGCGAAGGCAGAUCUCUGGGCCGUAACUGACGCUGAGGUACGAAAGCGUGGGGAGCAAACAGG
rnacentral:rRNA from 1 species